rnacentral:rRNA from 1 species
UACGGGGGGGGCAAGCGUUGUUCGGAAUUACUGGGCGUAAAGGGCUCGUAGGCGGCCAACUAAGUCAGACGUGAAAUCCCUCGGCUUAACCGGGGAACUGCGUCUGAUACUGGAUGGCUUGAGUUUGGGAGAGGGAUGCGGAAUUCCAGGUGUAGCGGUGAAAUGCGUAGAUAUCUGGAGGAACACCGGUGGCGAAGGCGGCAUCCGGGACCAACACUGACGAUGAGUGAGCGAAAGCCAGGGGAGCAAACGGG